rnacentral:lncRNA from 1 species
AAAUGUGAGGGGUGUGGCGUUCCUCAGCACGCUUGGUCCCCAGGGAGCGCUGUUUGUUUGUUUGUUUGCUUGUUUGUUUGUCUGUUUGUUUAACGGAGCGCUGCGCUGGGCAUCCCGGCGACCGACGAGGACUUCGCUGAGUCCUCGGGGAGAUGCAAACGAGUCCGUUCUCUUUCUAGGAGCUCCAACUCGCAGCGCCAAGCGCCGAGGAUGCCGGACGGACUCAAGAUCCUAACUCUAACCUGAGGGACUGAGCGACUGCUCGCCCCAAAGUGUUCGCUCUCCUUCCUGGAAGAGCCACAAGGGGUUCGAGGCGACGCCCUAGGGACCCUUGGGAAGCGUCACGUCAGCCGCUUUCCCUCAUCCCUCGCUGUUGGGUGUCUGUGGAACAAACUCGUUUUCAGGACUGUGAUGACUAUUCUUCGUUGUCAACUUGACUAUAUCUGGAAUCACCUACAACCCAGAAAUGGAGAAGAGCACACCUGUGAGAGAUUGUCUGCUUAAAGUGGAUGAAUCCACUUCUAGUCCAGACCUUUGAGAACCUGUUCGUAAGGACUACCAGAUGCAGUUCCCUUUCAGAUGGAAGGCCAGCAGUAUACCUUUACAGUUUUACCUCAAGGAUAUAUAGACUCUCCUGUUCUGUGUCAUAACUUAGUUAGAAGGGAACUUGAUUGUCUGACUCUUCCACAAAAUAUCACAUUGGUGCACUAUAUUGACGAUAUUAUGCUGACUGGACCAAGUGAACUGGAUGUAGCUACUCAUUGGUAACAACAGAUAUGAAUCAGAAGAUAGGAAAAAUUCAAGAACUGUCUACAACAGUGAAAUCCUUAGGAGUCCAGUGGUGUGGGGAAUGCAGAGAUAUUCCUUGUAAGGUGAAGAAUAAAUAAUUGCAGUUGACCCCACCCCCCACCAAGAAAGAAGCAUAAUGUUUAGUGGGCCUAUUUGGCUUCUGGAAGCAUUACAACUCUCACAUGGGUUUGUUACUCCAGGCCAUAUACUAAGUGACUUGGAAAGCUGUUAGUUUUGUGUGGGGCCUGGGACAGGAGAAGGCUCAACAGAUCCAGGCUACUGUGCAGGCUGUUCUACCACUUGGAUGACAUGAUCCAGCAGACCCAAUGGUACUUGAGGUGUCAGUGACAGAACGGGAAUGCUGUUUGGAGCUUUGGCAUACCAAUAGGUGAAUCACAGAAAAGACCUUUGAGAUUUUGGAACAAGGCUCUACCGUCAUCUGCAGACAACUAUUCUCCCUUUAAAGACAGCUCUUGGCCUGCUAUUGGGCCUCAGUGGAAACUGAACAUUUGACAAUGAGCCAGCAAGUUACCAUGCGACCAGAGCUGCCCAUCAUGAGCUAAGUAUUAUUGGACCACCAAAUCAUAAAGUAGGACAUGCACAGCAGCAAUCCAUUAUCAAAUGGAAGUGGUAUAGAGCUGGAGAGAAAGCUCAGCAGUUAAGAGCACUGACUGCUCUUCCAGAGGUCCUAAGUUCAAUUCCCAGCAACUACAUGGUGGCUCACAACCAUCUGCAAUGGGAUCUGAUGCCCAUUUCUGAUGUGUCUGAAGACAGCUAUAGUAUACUCGUAUACACAAAACAAAUAAAUCUUUUUUAAAAUGGAAGUGGUAUAUGCAUGAUUGAACCUGACCAGGUCCUGAUGGCACAAGUGAGUCACAUGAAGAAGUUGCCCAAAUGCCUAUGAUUUCUGCUCUUGUUACAGUGCAGUCUUACUGCCAAGCAUACACCUAUAGUUUCAUGGGGUGUUCCCUACAAUCAGCGUACUGAGAAGGAGACAGCUAGGGCCUGGUUUACUGAUGGUUGUGCACUUUAUACAGUCACCGCCCAGAAGUAGACAGCUGGAGCAUUAAAAACCCUUUUUGGGACAACUCUAAAAGAUGCUGACAAAGGGAAUUCUUCACAGUGGGCAGAACUUGGCCAAAUGAAUGAUUGUUCACUGAUUCACGUGCUGUAAAAUGGAUUGGCUGAAUAGUCACGGACAUGGAAAGAUCAUGAUUGGAAAAUUGGUGAGAAAAACAUCUGAGGAAGACAUAUGUAGAUGUACAGAGGAUGUGAAGAUAUUUGUGUCCCAAGUAAAUGCUCUUCAAAAGGUGACUUCAGCUAAGGAGUUCAUUAAUCAAGUAGAUAGGAUGACCUAUUCUGGGGACAGUCAACCUCUUUCCCUAGCCAUUCCUGUCAUUGCCCAAUGUCCACAUGAACAAAAUGGCCAUGGUGGCAUAGGUGGGGGUUAUGCAUGGGCUCAAUGAUACAGACUUUCACUCAUCAAGACUGACCUGGCUACAGCUGUUCUGAGUGCCAAAUCUGCCAUGCCAACAUCAGAGACCAACAUUGAAACCCAGAUAUGAUGCCAUUACCUGGGGUGAUCAUCCAGCAACCUGGUGGGAGGCUGACCACAUUGGACCAUUUCCUCCACGGAAAGGACAGUGCUUUAUCUUUACUGGAGUAAAUAGUCUGGUUACAGAUUUGCAUUUCCUGCACCAUAAUGCUUCUGCCAAAACCACAAUUUAUGAACUUACAGAUUGCCUUAUCCAUCAUCAUAGUAUUCCACAAAGUAUUGCUUCUGACCAAGGUACUCACUUCACAGCCAGAGAGAAGUGUGACAGUGGACCCAUGAUCAUGGAAUCCACUGGUCUUACCAUGUUCUCCACCAUCCUAAAGCAGCUGGCCAGAUAGAAAUAUGGAAUGGCCUUUUAAAGACACAGUUACAGUGCCAGUUAAGUAGCAGCAGCCUAGAGGGCUGAGGUAGGGUUCUUCAGAAGACAGUAUAUACUUUGAGUCAGCAUCCAGUGUAAGGUACAAUUUCUCCCAUAGCUAGGAUCCAUGGGUCCAGGAAUCAAGGGCUGGAAAAGGGAAUAUUUUCACACGCCAUCACCCCUAAUGAACCCUAGGGAAAAAAUGCUUUCUGUUCCUGCAACCCUAAGUUCUUUGGUUCCAGAGGGAGAAGUCUCCUGCCAGGAGCUGCAACAAAAAAAAAAAAAAAAAAUCCAUUGAACUAGAAGCUCAGACUUAACCCCUGGCAACUUUGGGCUUCUAGUGCCCUUAAACCUACAGGUUAACAAAGGAAUAGCAGUGUUAGGAGGAGUAAUUGAUCCAGAUUACUAUGGGGAUAUUGGAUUGCUUCUCCCACAGAGGUACAAAAGACUAUGUCUGGAAUGCAGGAGAUUCUUUAGGAUGUCUCAACGUACUAUUAUAACAUGAAUUAAAGUCAAUGGGAAACUACAACAACCUAAUCCAGGCAAGAUGACAAAGGGCACAGACCCUUCAGGAAUGAAGGUAUGGGUCACUUCUCCAGGGAAAGAGCCAAGACCUGCUGAGGUGCUUGCUGAGGAUGGACAAAAUACUUAAUAGGUAGUAGAGGAUGGUAGUUACAAAUACCAGCCAAGGUGAUGUGACCAGUUGCAGUUGCAAAAAAGGAAAAAAAAAAAAAAAUGCCGGGUGGUGGUGGCACACGCCUUUAAUCCCAGCACUCGGGAGGCAGAGGCAGCAGGCGGAUUUCUGAGUUCGAGGCCAGCCUAGUCUACAGAGUAAGUUCCAGGAUAGCCAGGAUGACACACAGAGAAACACUAUCUGGAAAGAAAAAAGAGAGAGAAUAACAGUAAUUAUCAUUAUUUAAGUUUAAGAUACUAAAAGGAUGUCCCCUAAAGGACAUUGCCACUUAGUCUAAAUUUAUAAUUUGUUUUUAGUUGGACCAGGGUUGUACGAGUUAUAUCAUGUUAGGUGUAAUUAUGACCUGGUUAAAUAUAUAACGCAUCUGUGAUUUUACAUGGAAUGGUUAUAUUAUGUUCAAGCAUUAUCAUGACCUGAUAAUUGUUUUCAUUUGGAAAUUAUGACAUAAGAAGCUAUGAUUGUGUAUCAAGUUGAAAAGAGGUGGACUUGUGAUGGCUAUUCUUGGUUGUCAACUUGACUAUAUCUGGAAUAAACUACAAUCCAGUAAUGGAGACCAC